UGGUAUAAAUGGUUAAUGCUCUUGGCUGCUAACCAAAAGGCUGGUGGUUUGAGUCCAUC
rnacentral:tRNA from 1 species